UACGUAGGGUGCAAGCGUUAAUCGGAAUUACUGGGCGUAAAGCGUGCGCAGGCGGUUUUGUAAGUCUGUCGUGAAAUCCCCGGGCUCAACCUGGGAAUUGCGAUGGAGACUGCAAGGCUAGAAUCUGGCAGAGGGGUAGAAUUCCACGUGUAGCAGUGAAAUGCGUAGAGAUGUGGAGGAACACCGAUGGCGAAGGCAGCCCCCCUGGGUCAAGAUUGACGCUCAUGCACGAAGGCGUGGGGAGCAAACAGG
rnacentral:rRNA from 1 species